UGGGGAAUUUUGGACAAUGGGCGAAAGCCUGAUCCAGCCAUGCCGCGUGUGUGAAGAAGGUCUUCGGAUUGUAAAGCACUUUAAGUUGGGAGGAAGGGUUGUAGAUUAAUACUCUGCAAUUUUGACGUUACCGACAGAAUAAGCACCGGCUAACUCUGUGCCAGCAGCCGCGGUAAUACAGAGGGUGCAAGCGUUAAUCGGAAUUACUGGGCGUAAAGCGCGCGUAGGUGGUUUGUUAAGUUGGAUGUGAAAGCCCCGGGCUCAACCUGGGAACUGCAUCCAAAACUGGCAAGCUAGAGUACGGUAGAGGGUGGUGGAAUUUCCUGUGUAGCGGUGAAAUGCGUAGAUAUAGGAAGGAACACCAGUGGCGAAGGCGACCACCUGGACUGAUACUGACACUGAGGUGCGAAAGCGUGGGGAGCAAACAGGAUUAGAUACCCAGGUAGUCCCUGAGCGGGCUGGCAAGGCGCAU
rnacentral:rRNA from 1 species